UACAGAGGGUGCAAGCGUUAAUCGGAAUUACUGGGCGUAAAGCGUGCGCAGACGGUUGCGUAAGUCAGAUGUGAAAGCCCCGGGCUCAACCUGGGAAUUGCAUUUGAGACUGCGUAGCUAGGGUGCGGAAGAGGGAAGCGGAAUUUCCGGUGUAGCGGUGAAAUGCGUAGAUAUCGGGAAGAACACCCGUGGCGAAGGCGGCUCUCUGGGACGGUACUGACGCUGAGACGCGAAAGCGUGGGGAGCGAACAGG
rnacentral:rRNA from 1 species